rnacentral:rRNA from 1 species
UACGUAGGUGGCGAGCGUUGUCCGGAUUUACUGGGCGUAAAGAGCGCGCAGGCGGUCGUACAAGUCGCGUGUGAAAGCCCCCGGCUUAACUGGGGAGGGUCACGCGAUACUGUUCGACUCGAAGGCAGGAGAGGGAAGCGGAAUUCCCGGUGUAGUGGUGAAAUGCGUAGAUAUCGGGAGGAACACCAGAGGCGAAGGCGGCUCGCUGGGCUUUGACUGACGCUGAGGCGCGAAAGCGUGGGGAGCGAACCGG